UUUGGCGGUAUCACAUGUUGCUUCGCUGUAAACAUGGACGAUCUGGAUUUGAUUCAAUUAUCCAAAGCGAGAGAAACGGUGUUUGAGUGAUGGCGCGAAAAUUACCGAUUUCGUUGCGCAUAUUGACAAAGUUAUGGCGAGGGAUCUGUAUGGAAGCGAACAAUUUUAACGAUCGGCAUAUUUUUCGAUACUCGUGAACACGAGUGUACAACCUGGACGUUUAUACACACCCACAUUUCUCUCAAACGCACAAACAUCCGCAUUCCGUUUAUAAUACUAAAAUUUCGCUGGAAACAGGGAAACGCGAGAUCAGGUAUCUACUAAAUCGCUUAAACUAUAUAGUUUAUACCAGCGCGUUUACAGCUGUAACCAAUUAACGUAAUUACACUGCCUAAAUGAAAGCAUUCAGUUUAUACUCGUGCAUUCUGUUCUUUCAACAGCAUCCUGGAAAUCUGCGUGUUAUCAUUUUCGUAGAAAUCGAGAGAGCUUAGGUUGAAUGUAGAUCCGACAUCGUCAAACGGAAAAUUACAAAGUUCUUGAAUUCCUGGAAGGUUCUAACGGGAUAUAGGGUUUUGUUCCAAUGGAAAACGCAUAUUCGUUUCUAGGAAUCGGUUUUAAUUAAAUUUCCACAUCCGUGAACAAAGGGAUAUGAUUUAUCGUGCGAUAGCAUAUAAUGAAAACUAAGGCAAAGAAUGGAAUUUUUUGUUUUUCGUAGAAAACGUGAGACGACAUCGCCUUGUUAAGAGGAAAUAAAACCAUUCCAGGAAAGAAUAACGAUCGUCGUUAAGCGUAAUGUAAUUUCUUUCUGAAGAGUCAGUACUAAUCUAUCGCCCACGCGUAAUGCCUCGAUGCUAAGCAUCUCUCAUUUUGCAUCUCGUUCGUUGCCAUUCAUCUCGUCGUGUAAAACGCAAAUAAAAUGGAAAGAAAUAUUUUUUAUUCCAAGAAGCAAUUAUUCAAACAACAAUUUAUCAACGGAUAAGAAAAUCAGAAAUGUCCCUUUUAAUAUUUUUCAAAUUAAUAUUAAAACCAUCUUUCUCUUCUUUUUUACACUCUUACUUAUCUGAAAUUCUUUAUCUCCUAAUUUCGAUAAACCAUUUUACAAAACGUAGGCUAUUGUCCGUUUUACGUUUAACUGUUAUGAAAUUUUGCAGUCCAUUUACGCAUAAUCUUGCGAGUAAAGUACAUUUUGCCAAAAGUAAUCGAGCGUCUGUCUACUUUUGAACAAUACUGUACCCAACAGCUACUUACAGUGGCUACAAAAAGUAUUUCUGUAUUAUUUCUACUAUUCUGUUUAUCCCAGCGUGCUAAUCAAUUAUAUUAAUUGAAACAUAUUAAUUGUCCUCUGUCUGCAAAAGCCUUACCGACAUUUACACGCUGGAUCGUUUAGGAUCAUGCAAUAUCUGUUUACGUUCUCGUGUUUUAAAAAGUGUGCUCAAAAAUUCUUGAAUACUCUUGCAAGUUGUUAGAAUAUCUUCCAAUAAUUUUCAUAUCGAUACAUGUGAAUCUUUUUAAGCGAAGCGGAAUCUAAGCAAAAAUACGAAGAAAGUGGAAAAUCGCUUAAAGUCACUGGUCGAAAACCAUCCACUAUGCAGAUGGACAGAUAAAUUUCGCGUCACUUGAUAGUACUAUCGUAUGACUAUGAACUAUUGACACUAGUUGAAAGUGAAAUGUAACGGCUGAUGAAAAAAAAUUGAAAAAGAUAGAGAUACGUAAGUAUUAGCAUUAGGUUGGCAUAAAAGUUUCUUUCGUUUUGUGAGGAAAUAAUAAAUGUACAUUUCUUGUAUCAUAUUAUUGUAUUGAAUUAUGUAUGAUCUAUUUUGUAGUAAUAGAAUCCAUUUUAUUUUAUUCGUACAGAAUUCAUUAAUAAUAACAUUAUAUUUCCUUAUAAAACUAAAGAAACUUUUGGGACAACCUAACGCAUAUAAAUACCUUUUCACAGCCACUGUAUAAGAUUAUAAAAGAUACUGAUAUACAGGAUAUUGUUAGCUGUAGCUGCACAGCCACCACGCACUCAGCAUCGCAAAUAUCGAAAGCCCUGAAGAAAAUUUGAAGAAGAAAUGCUGUAAUUUUAUAAAACUGAAUUCUAAUCGACGAGACGAGUAAACGUGUGACAGAUAUCGUAGAAUAGAAAAAAAAGUGUGUAAUAGGCAAAAAAAGAAAUGUUUAAUAUAAAUUUUACUUAGAAUUCAUACACGUAAGUAGAUAUGACUUUUCUGCCAGUCACUCACUGUGCAUUAUCUGACAUAAUUUAUCUCUCGUACUUAUUCUUUCAUCCAGGCAAAGGAAGCUGUCGGAACAGAUUUAAUUCCCGUUCAUUAGAUUCGUCGCCUUACUGAAUACGAUAUUCUCGAGUUCGCGGUUCAAGGGAAAGCGAAGAAUUCUGGUGGGGACGAGAGCAACGUUCAAGAUGAAAUCCUCGGCCCUUGUUAAAUCGUCUCGGUCGGGGUCGAACAAUGCGUUCGCCAGCAUCCUCGUUUCUCGGUGAUUGCACAUAAAGCUGCCAUUAUUAGAACUUCAGCGGGCGGAGUACGAGAUCGUUUACCCUCGAGUGAUCCCGAAUGAGAGCGCGCGGAACAGAAGAUCGACCCACGAAGACCGAGAAACUUGGCGCGAGUAUCUCCACCAAGAGGCGGUGUUCCUCGAGAUCAGCAACUGGACCUUAAGGACCAUGGCCAACGAUCGAUUGAUACUGUCGUCGAAUUUCACCGUGAAUUGGGUGCGCCAGGGUAAAACCAAGUCCGAGCGACGUAACGCCAAGGCGAACUGCGAUCUUCGAUAAGGCAGCUUGGAAGGAGACGCGAGUUCCUUCGUCGUCGUGACGAUAUGCAAAGAAGAAGUGUACGCCUUGAUGUUGAUCGGGCAGAGAUCGUUCUUCGUUCAGCCGCUGACGAAUGGCCAGCAUGUGAUGUUUCAGCCGAAAAACGAAAAGUGGUGGUCGAUCAGGAAUAAUUCGAGCUUCGUGUCUGUGAAUCCGGAAAAUCCUGCAGGGAAAUCGAAUAAAUUUGAAGUUGAAGAAAGUAAGAGAAAGUCGAAACGAAGAAAACGCGAUUCCUUAUGCCACGAUGUUCAGGGAUUUUAUAAUCUUUCCGGUGACGUCUUCGACGUGGAAUACCCAGAAGCUGAGAAAUUGAUUCUGUACGAUGAAAAAGACGAUGUCUCCACAGAAUACAACGAUACAAUAGUGGAAGAAUUAUCGAUCGACGUAAAUACUGUUGAGAAAUGCUCAGUUGGUAUGACCGCUAGUUACUAAAAGGUUACUAGGGUUAUGUUGGUACGACUCCUAACUACGCUCUUUUGUCAUAGGAGUCGACCACGCCUCAAUUGCUAAGACGCAUUGGGAGAGUUUAGACGUUUGCCGUGUGAUUUGGUGUUUUGUAUAAGAGAGAAAAUAAAAGGUGUGAUAACCAAUCCGAGUGGAUCCGAGAUUGAUUAUCAACCCCAACCUAUAUAAAAUAACAAAUCCCGAGGAAAUUGGAUACUUCUCUGGUCCUAAAUGGCAAAGGAACAGAUUAUCAAAGAAAACACCAACUGCUAAGGAUUCGCCGCCACGAUGAUUAGAGCUUGGAAUAGCUGCUGAUUACUCCGUGGUAGAUUUUCAUGGAAUUCGAGUACAGCAAUAUACCUUGGCUCCUUUAAACAUCGUCCGCCGUGGCGAUGCCAGACGAUCUCUCGAGAACGUGAACAAAUGGAACAGAAAGAUGCUGUCCUCGAAAGACGUAAAUCACGAUGUUGCUGUAUGGUUGACGCCAUUAGAUAUACGAGGUCCUUCCGGUUACGCACCUGUGUCAGGAGUAUGCUAUCCCGCGAGAUCGUGCGCGUUAAAUCGAGACGAAGGCUCGACCAGCGCCUUUAUCAUCGCUCACGAAGUAGCACACAUGUAUUUGGUAGCGCAAUUGAGAAGAUGUUAACGGCG